rnacentral:rRNA from 1 species
CAGCAGCCGCGGUAAUACGAAGGGUGCAAGCGUUAAUCGGAAUUACUGGGCGUAAAGCGUGCGUAGGCGGUGAGUUAAGUCUGCUGUGAAAUCCCCGGGCUCAACCUGGGAAUGGCAAUGGAUACUGGCAAGCUAGAGUGUGUCAGAGGAUGGUGGAAUUCCCGGUGUAGCGGUGAAAUGCGUAGAGAUCGGGAGGAACAUCAGUGGCGAAGGCGGCCAUCUGGGACAACACUGACGCUGAGGCACGAAAGCGUGGGGAGCAAACAGGAUUAGAUACCCGAGUAGUCCCUGUCUCUUAUAC